GGGGAAAUUUCUCUUCAAACGUUGAGUGGUGCCAAUCACAUUAAUUGUGAAGCCCAAUAACGAUCUUUUGAAGAAGUCACGAAUAAUGCGAGUGGGAAGCAAAUGAAUGGAAUGCAUGUAUGUAAUGUGAGGACAUGAGUUUGAAAAAAUAAUAAAAAAAAACAAAAAAUAUGUAAAUGAAAAUGUGCACGUGAGUGGGCAAGGUACGGUAUAUGCAAUGAUAAUAUGAAGUGCAUGUGUGCAAGUGAUGAUAAAAGUGUUCGUGUGCAAGUGAAGAAACAUAAAGGUGCACGUGUGCAAAGUGGGAGGAAAAAUGAAAGUGUGAUGAGGGUAUAAAAUGGUAGAGUGGAUUUAAAAAUGCAUGAGCCUAGGGAAUUCAUGCAUAUUGGG
rnacentral:lncRNA from 1 species